rnacentral:lncRNA from 1 species
AUGGGAAAAGGUGCCUGCCUCUAUGGACAAGCCUACAGGCUUCACGGAACAAUCGUGCGAGGGUCGGGCAGGCCCCGGCCGACGGGGCGGUGGGGAGCGGGGGAGGGAAGGGCAGGGCAGGGGUGGGCAGGCUGGGCCCGGGCGCCCCGAGACGGCUGGCGGAGGGGAGGGUGCGGGAGGCUGCCCCUUCCAGCCCUCCUGCGUGCGCGCCUCUCCUUCUCGCUCUUUUAUUCCGGCCGCUCGGUCUUGCCUGAGGUAAAUUCCACCAUGAAAGCCUCGUCUUCGCCCGUCAAUGGCUCCUGCGAGCGAAUCACAACCCCCCGAGGAAGCCGCCGCCGCCGCCACCACCGCCGCCGCCGCCGCCGCCGCCUCGUUCUCCCGCAGCUCUGGGCUCCGGGAGGCGCUCGGGCGUCGCGGGCCGAGGGCGGGGGGCGGCGGGAGGGCGGAUGUAGGUGGCCGGGGUGGGGGGUGAGCAGCGAGGCCGGCGAGACACCCGUUGCACCCCUCCCGGGAAGCACUUCCAGCGGCUCCGCGCAGACCAGACACAAAGGGGGGAGUCGCCGCAGCUGCCAGUCUGCGGCGCUCCCGGUCACCGGAGUCGCCCCGCCUCCGCCGCCGCCGCCGCCGCCGCCGCCGUCGCCGCCUUCGCCUCCGCCUCCGCCUCCGUCUCCGUCUCUUCCCGGCCCUGUCUGUCUCUGGCCUGUGGUGCAGCGCGGGCGGCGGCGCGACGAAGCCCACACUGCGCGUGCGCGCUCGCCGCCCCGCCCGGCCCCGCCCCGCGCCCGGGGCUGGCGGAGGACUCGGAGGCCCUCGCGCGGCGCGUCUCUGCCGUCCGCCGCCGAGCGCAGGGUGGGGCUGGCAAGCCGGUGGGCCGCAGUGGCCUUUGCCCCUCACACACGCGCACACACGUACACACAUCGCGUCCAUACGUGGAUGGCUUGGGAUUUGUGUGUACGUUUAGGAGAGGGCGGCCGCAUCUUUUGUCCCAGCGUUUGGCAAACUCUUGCGAGCCCCGUGAUUUAG